ACGAACGUUGGCGGUGUGCCUAAUACAUGCAAGUCGAGCGAGAAAGCCGGGGCAACUCGGCGAGUACAGCGGCGGAAGGGUGCGUAAUACAUGGAUAACGUACCUCCUUGUUGGGGAUAACCCUCCGAAAGGUGGGCUAAUACCGAAUGACGGCAGCGGGUGGCAUCAUCUGCUGCUCAAAGACGCAAGUCGCAGGGAGAGCGGUCCAUGGCCUAUCAGCUAGUUGGCGGGGUAACGGCCCACCAAGGCGAUGACGGGUAGCCGGACUGAGAGGUUGAACGGCCACACUGGGACUGAGACACGGCCCAGACAUCUACGGAUGGCAGCAGUAGGGAAUCUUGCGCAAUGGGCGAAAGCCUGACGCAGCGACACCGCGUGGGGGAUGAAGGCCUUCGGGUUGUAAACCCCUUUCAUGAGGGAAGAACACUGACCUAACCUCAGGAAGAAGCACCGGCUAACUCCGU
rnacentral:rRNA from 1 species